rnacentral:rRNA from 1 species
UACGUAGGGGGCAAGCGUUGUCCGGAUUUAUUGGGCGUAAAGAGCGUGUAGGCGGCCAUGCAGGUCCGUUGUGAAAACUCGAGGCUCAACCUCGAGACGCCGGUGGAAACCGUGUGGCUAGAGUCCGGAAGAGGAGAGUGGAAUUCCUGGUGUAGCGGUGAAAUGCGCAGAUAUCAGGAAGAACACCCGUGGCGAAGGCGGCUCUCUGGGACGUGACUGACGCUGAUGAACGAAAGCCAGGGGAGCAAACGGG